GGUGAGAGGCCCGGAGCGUACGCUGGCCCCUCCGGGUCUCUCGCCGGGCACCUCCCAGUCGCGCCCGCCUCGUGCCGGAACCCUCAAGCUCACGGUGAGGAGCGGGCGCCUUCCAAGGUCAGCCCGCUCUACCCGUGAGCGUUUUGGGGUCAGGGAGCCAUAUGCUGUCCCGGACCCCCACCCUGGGCAGCAGCCGGUGGAGGGCACCUCGGCCAGGCUGUCCGUCAUGAGGCAGCUGCGGGUCUCCAUCUCUGGUGCCGGGAUCCUCAGAGGCUCCCCCAGGACACCUGUUCUCUGGGGCCCCAACUCUGGAUCAGAAGUUCUGAGUGGUCCUGGGAGUGUGUGUUUUAACAAGAGCCCCAGCUGACCUGGGCACAUGGCUGCUCGCUACCCUCUAAUAAACUGGCUUCCUGGGGA